rnacentral:rRNA from 1 species
GAAUGCUGACAUAAGUAACGAUAAAGCGGGUGAAAAGCCCGCUCGCCGGAAGACCAAGGGUUCCUGUCCAACGUUAAUCGGGGCAGGGUGAGUCGACCCCUAAGGCGAGGCCGAAAGGCGUAGUCGAUGGGAAACGGGUUAAUAUUCCCGUACUUGGUGUUACUGCGAAGGGGGGACGGAGAAGGCUAUGUUGGCCGGGCGACGGUUGUCCCGGUUUAAGCGUGUAGGUGUGUGUUCCAGGUAAAUCCGGUUCACUUUAACACUGAGGCGUGACGACGAGGCACUACGGUGCUGAAGCAACAAAUGCCCUGCUUCCAGGAAAAGCCUCUAAGCAUCAGGUAACAUCAAAUCGUACCCCAAACCGACACAGGUGGUCAGGUAGAGAAUACCAAGGCGCUUGAGAGAACUCGGGUGAAGGAACUAGGCAAAAUGGUGCCGUAACUUCGGGAGAAGGCACGCUGACACGUAGGUGAAGUGAUUUACUCAUGGAGCUGAAGUCAGUCGAAGAUACCAGCUGGCUGCAACUGUUUAUUAAAAACACAGCACUGUGCAAACACGAAAGUGGACGUAUACGGUGUGACGCCUGCCCGGUGCCGGAAGGUUAAUUGAUGGGGUCAGCGCAAGCGAAGCUCCUGAUCGAAGCCCCGGUAAACGGCGGCCGUAACUAUAACGGUCCUAAGGUAGCGAAAUUCCUUGUCGGGUAAGUUCCGACCUGCACGAAUGGCGUAAUGAUGGCCAGGCUGUCUCCACCCGAGACUCAGUGAAAUUGAACUCGCUGUGAAGAUGCAGUGUACCCGCGGCAAGACGGAAAGACCCCGUGAACCUUUACUAUAGCUUGACACUGAACAUUGAGCCUUGAUGUGUAGGAUAGGUGGGAGGCUUUGAAGUGUGGACGCCAGUCUGCAUGGAGCCGACCUUGAAAUACCACCCUUUAAUGUUUGAUGUUCUAACGUGGACCCGUUACCCGGGUUGCGGACAGUGUCUGGUGGGUAGUUUGACUGGGGCGGUCUCCUCCUAAAGAGUAACGGAGGAGCACGAAGGUUGGCUAAUCCUGGUCGGAC